UGAGGAAUAUUGGUCAAUGGGCGCAAGCCUGAACCAGCCAUCCCGCGUGAAGGAUGAAGGCCCUAUGGGUCGUAAACUUCUUUUAUAUGCCAAGAAAGGUGCCCACGCGUGGGUAUUUGACGGUAGUAUAUGAAUAAGCAUCGGCUAACUCCGUGCCAGCAGCCGCGGUAAUACGGAGGAUGCGAGCGUUAUCCGGAUUCAUUGGGUUUAAAGGGUGCGUAGGCGGUUCUUUAAGUCAGUGGUGAAAUCCUGCGGCUCAACCGUAGAACAGCCAUUGAUACUGAAGGACUUGAAUAUAAUUGAGGUAAGCGGAAUGAGUAGUGUAGCGGUGAAAUGCUUAGAUAUUACUCAGAACACCAAUUGCGAAGGCAGCUUACCAAGCUAUAAUUGACGCUGAGGCACGAAAGCGUGGGGAUCGAACA
rnacentral:rRNA from 1 species